GCCAAACGGGCAGAGCGCGGCGGGGCUGACGUCAGUGCCCAGUGCCGCCUGAGCGGAGCGGGACCAGUGUGAAACCCCAGCUCCUGAACCUUGCAGAAGAAAACCCGGAAGACUGGAAACCAAGGGCUUUGCCACUCUUGUCUGAUGAUUUGAGGAGGGAAAUUGACUGACUCUCCAAAUGAGUGACCAUCUCAUAGGAAAGCCAUCCAGGUAAGGAUUAUUCGUGUUCCUUUUUCAUUUCUGUCAGAAAAAUGGCGCAAUCAGUGCAGGUCUUUACAGUCUUGCUUAGAGGGCGCACAGCUGAUUUUCAC
rnacentral:lncRNA from 1 species